rnacentral:lncRNA from 1 species
UAAAACCGUAAUAUUCUCCUAUAUAAGCAUUCAUACAUCAAUCUCAAUGUAUGAUAUUUGCGCCUCCAAUUAACACUCUCUUUACCUCAUUCAAAUACUGAUUUAAACGUUGGAGUGCUAACAUUUUUGCCGAUAACUUUUCCCCCCAUAAUUAAAGAACCAUGAAUCAUCAAUCGUCAACAAUCAUGAACUCUACCAGCUAAAUCAUCAUUGAUGAAAGUUAAUUAUAUGAUGUUUUUAGUAGUACUCUUACAUAUCCAAAUAAAUAAGAUAUGUGUACCGAAUAAAUCAUCUUAUAAAAAUGGAUGAUUGUCCACUGAUCUUGCCUAUAUUACAUGAAUAUGUACUUGCCUGAUUUAUAUUACAUGAACAUGAACAA